CAAUAGCGUAUACUAAUGUUGUUGCAGUUAAAAAGCUCGUAGUUGAACUUCUGGUAGGAGUGUCCCGGCCUUUUUGUUUUUACAAAUUGUAUGCUGUGUGACAUCUCUGGCCAUCCUUCUUCUUUGUUUAAAGAAGAUCUUUCACUGUAAAAAAAUUAGGGUGUUCAAAGCAAAAGUUUCUUUGGAAUAUAUUAGUAUGGGAUGAUAAGGUAGGCUCUAGAUGCUAUUUUGUUGGUUUGCACAUUUAGAGAAUGAUUAACAGGGACAGUUGGGGGUAUUCGUAUUUACAUGUCAGAGGUGAAAUUCUUGGAUUUUGGAAAGACGAACUACUGCGAAAGCAUUUACCAAGGAUGUUUUCAUUAA
rnacentral:rRNA from 1 species